rnacentral:lncRNA from 1 species
GUGUGUUUUGUCCUUUUUUGAUACAGUUAAUGUCAAUGGUCGGUAUUACGAAGCAUUCCUAAGACUUGUCAUAAGAUAUAUCUUAGGACAUGUCUUAUGAUCCUCUUAUGACUAUCUAUGGACAUAUCUUUAUUUGAUGAAUUAUAAUUGUGAGUGUCCACUUUGAGGGCAAUAGUAAAAUACUUUCAAUCUAGUUCACACUAAAAGACACAAGAGGACAGCCAGGACAGAUGUGUCUACAAAUAAAAUUGGGAUUGGAAAUGGGGUAUGUGUCUAAAAGACAACAACCAGACCAUGGAGCAGACGACAUCCAAAGGACACAAAUACAUGCUUUCAAAGUAGAGGAUAUAUAUUUAAAACAUCAAAUGACAUCCGCC